AGCUGAGAGGUGGAAAAUGGCGCUGACGUGAGCGCGAACUCGCACUGCCCAGAGGGUGGCCGCCGCCUAAGCUGCAGCCGCCGGAGCCGCAGAAACAAGAGGCCGAGCCGUGUCGAAGAUGGAGGAGAAACCCUCAGGGCCCAUCCCAGACAUGCUGGCCACUGCAGAGCCCAGCUCCAGUGAGACCGACAAGGAGGUGUUGUCCCCGGCUGUGCCAGCUGCAGCCCCUUCCUCCUCCAUGUCGGAGGAGCCAGGCCCUGAGCAGGCAGCCACACCGCCAGUGUGGGAACGUGGAGGGGCUGGAGGGAUGCAGCAGGGCUCCUCCCCAGCCCCAGACAGCUGCCAGCCUGGCCCCGGACCCAGCCCUGGCCUGACCAGCAUAGUCUCCGGGACCAGCGAGGACCUGCGGCCUCCCAGACGACGCCCACCUCCAGGUGAUCUGUGAUGGGGUCUUCUGGGGAAUCACA
rnacentral:lncRNA from 1 species